GGGUUGUGAGGUUAAGCGACUAAGCGUACACGGUGGAUGCCCUGGCAGUCAGAGGCGAUGAAGGACGUGCUAAUCUGCGAAAAGCGUCGGUAAGGUGAUAUGAACCGUUACAGCCGGCGAUGUCCGAAUGGGGAAACCCAGUGCAAUUCGUUGCACUAUCGUUUGAUGAAUACAUAGUCAAACGAGGCGAACCGGGGGAACUGAAACAUCUAAGUACCCCGAGGAAAAGAAAUCAACCGAGAUUCCCCCAGUAGCGGCGAGCGAACGGGGAGCAGCCCGGAGUCUGAAUCAGCUUGUGUGUUAGUGGAAGCGUCUGGAAAGUCGCAGGGUACAGGGUGAUACUCCCGUACACUAAAACACACAGGCUGUGAACUCGAAGAGUAGGGCGGGACACGUGGUAUCCUGUCUGAAUAUGGGGGGACCAUCCUCCAAGGCUAAAUACUCCUGACUGACCGAUAGUGAACCAGUACCGUGAGGGAAAGGCGAAAAGAACCCCGGCGAGGGGAGUGAAAAAGAACCUGAAACCGUGUACGUACAAGCAGUAGGAGCCCACUAGUUGGGUGACUGCGUACCUUUUGUAUAAUGGGUCAGCGACUUAUAUUCUGUAGCAAGGUUAACCGUAUAGGGGAGCCGCAGGGAAACCGAGUCUUAACUGGGCGUUAAGUUGCA
rnacentral:rRNA from 1 species